AAUGAACCCCGUCCAACUCCUGGGGAGGCAGCGGGGGAAUUUUCACAAUGGCAGCAACCUUAUCCACCAUCCCGGGUGAAGAAGAAGUCUUCGGGUUGAAAGUCUUUUCGUGGGGAGAAGGCGUUAAGUUAACACCUGGGCGAUGGCGUUCCCCGCAGAAGAAGCCCGGAUUAUUUCGUGCCAGCAGCCGGGUAAUACGGAGGGUGCAGGCGUUAUUGGAAUUACUGGGAUAAAGCGACGCAGGCGUUCUUCAAGUCGAAUGAAAAUCCCGGGGUUCACCGGGGAACUGCAUUAAAACUGGCAGGCUAGAUUCUGUAGAGGGGGGAAAAUUCCAGGUGCAGCGGUAAAAUGCGUAGUCAUGUGGAGGAAUCCCGGUGGGGAAGGCGCCCCCCUGGACAAUGACUGCCGCUCAGGUGAGAAAGCGUGGGGAGCAACCAGGAUUAGAUCCCCUGGUAGUCCACGCCGUAAACGAUGUCGACAUGGAGGUUGUGCCUUGAGGCGUGGCUUCCGGAGCUAACGCGUUAAGUCGCCCCCCUGGGGAGUACGCCCGCAAGUUAAAUCUCAAAUAAAUUGAGGGGGGCCCGCACAAGCGGUGGAGCAUGUGUUUUAUUUCGAUGCAACGCGAAGACCUUUACGUACUCUUGACAUCCAGAGAAUUUCCCAGAGAGGAUUUGGUCCUUUCGGGAUCUCUGACACAGGUGCUCCAUGGCUGUCGUCAGCUCGUGUUGUGAAAUGUGGGUUAAAGUCCCGCAACGAGCGCACCCUUUACCUUUUUUUCCCAGCGGUAAGGCCGGGAACUCAAAGGAGACUGCCGGUGAUAAACUGGAGGAAGGUGGGGAUGACGUCAAGUCAUCAUGGCCCUUACGACUAGGGCUACACACGUGCUACAAUGGCGCAUACAAAGAGAAGCGACCUCGCGAGAUCAAGCGAACCUCAUAAACCGCGU
rnacentral:rRNA from 1 species